rnacentral:lncRNA from 1 species
CUGAAUCCAAGAACCACAGCUCUAGCUUAUCAUCAGAUUCUAUUGAAUUAUUGACUGCAGUCUCUUGAGCCAUCAAAAGAAUUUCUUUUGUCUCAUCAAAUUGUGCAUAGUUAGCAUGAUCUUCUUCCCAACUUGGGCAAUCAGCUUGAUAAUGAUCAAGUUUGUGACAUUUGUAGCAUUCCACUGAAUCUUUAUUGAUUGAAGCACCUCUUCCCCCUCUUCCUCUGGCCCUACCUCGACCUCUGCUGUAAGAACCUUCUCCUCUACCACC